AUUGAACGCUGGCGGCAGGCCUAACACAUGCAAGUCGAACGAGUGGCGGACGGGUGAGUAAUGUCUGGGAAACUGCCUGAUGGAGGGGGAUAACUACUGGAAACGGUAGCUAAUACCGCAUACCAUCAGAUGUGCCCAGAUGGGAUUAGCUAGUUGGUGGGGUAACGGCGCACCAAGGCGACUAUCCCUAGCUGGUCUGAGAGGAUGACCAGCCACACGUGAACUGAGACGCGGUCCAGACUCCUGCGGGAGGCAGCGGUGGGGGAUAGUGCACAAUGGGCGCAAGCCUGAUGCAUCCGUGCCGCGUGUAUGAAGAGGGCCUUCGGGUUGUAAAGUACUUUCAGCGGGGAGGCGUUACCCGCAGAAGAAGCACCGGCUAACUCCGUGCCAGCCGCCGCGGUAAUAC
rnacentral:rRNA from 1 species